CCUACGGGUGGCAGCAGUGGGGAAUAUUGCGCAAUGGGCGAAAGCCUGACGCAGCGACGCCGCGUGAGGGAUGAAGGUCUUCGGAUCGUAAACCUCUGUCAGCAGGGAAGAACGGUCACUGUGCUAAUCAGCAGUGAAUUGACGGUACCUGCAAAGGAAGCACCGGCUAACUCCGUGCCAGCAGCCGCGGUAAUACGGAGGGUGCGAGCGUUAAUCGGAAUUACUGGGCGGAAAGCGUUCGUAGGCGGUAUGUCAAGUAAAGGGUGAAAUCCCCGCGCGCAACGUGGGAACUGCCUUUGAAACUGGCAAACUGGAGUGUGUGAGAGGAUAGUGGAAUGCCAGGUGUAGGAGUGAAAUCCGUAGAUAUCUGGAGGAACAUCAGUGGCGAAGGCGACUAUCUGGAACAUAACUGACGCUGAGGAGCGAAAGCGUGGGUAGCAAACAGGAUUAGAUACCCCAGUAGUC
rnacentral:rRNA from 1 species